rnacentral:rRNA from 1 species
GCCUACGGGAGGCAGCAGUGAGGAAUAUUGGUCAAUGGCCGUAAGGCUGAACCAGCCAAGUAGCGUGAGGGAAGACUGCCCUAUGGGUUGUAAACCUCUUUUAUGCGGGGAUAAAGGUGUCCACGUGUGGAUGUUUGCAGGUACCGCAUGAAUAAGGACCGGCUAAUUCCGUGCCAGCAGCCGCGGUAAUACGGAAGGUCCGGGCGUUAUCCGGAUUUAUUGGGUUUAAAGGGAGCGUAGGUGGAUUGUUAAGUCAGUUGUGAAAGUUUGCGGCUCAACCGUAAAAUUGCAGUUGAAACUGGCAG